ensembl:misc_RNA Metazoa_SRP Metazoan signal recognition particle RNA
GCUGGGUGUGGUGGCGUGUGCCUGUAGUCCCAAUUACUCAGGAGUCUGAGGUAGGAGGAUCACCUGAGCCUGGGAGGUUGAGGCUGCAGUGAUCCAUGAUCGUACCACUGCACUCUAGCCUGGGCAACAGGGUGAGACCCUGUCUCAA